AGAGUUUGAUCCUGGCUCAGAUUGAACGCUGGCGGCAGGCUUAACACAUGCAAGUCGAGCGGAGAUGAGGUGCUUGCACCUUAUCUUAGCGGCGGACGGGUGAGUAAUGCUUAGGAAUCUACCUAUUAGUGGGGGACAACGUUUCGAAAGGAACGCUAAUACCGCAUACGUCCUACGGGAGAAAGCAGGGGACCUUCGGGCCUUGCGCUAAUAGAUGAGCCUAAGUCGGAUUAGCUAGUUGGUGGGGUAAAGGCCUACCAAGGCGACGAUCUGUAGCGGGUCUGAGAGGAUGAUCCGCCACACUGGGACUGAGACACGGCCCAGACUCCUACGGGAGGCAGCAGUGGGGAAUAUUGGACAAUGGGGGGAACCCUGAUCCAGCCAUGCCGCGUGUGUGAAGAAGGCCUUUUGGUUGUAAAGCACUUUAAGCGGGGAGGAGGCUACUUAGAUUAAUACUCUAGGAUAGUGGACGUUACUCGCAGAAUAAGCACCGGCUAACUCUGUGCCAGCAGCCGCGGUAAUA
rnacentral:rRNA from 1 species